GAGGGUAUAGCUCAAGUGGUAGAGCACGUGCUUGGUAUGCAUGAGGUCCUGGGUUCACUCCCCAGUACCUCCU
rnacentral:tRNA from 1 species